CCUCAUGUAAUUUGAAACGGAGGGAGUAUUUCUUAUUUUGGGAAAGGCAUUAGAAAUAUUCAGAUAUUAUCUCACUGGCCUUGGAACAUAACAUUAUCUGGUUCCGCUACAUAUGUUCUGUGGAGAAAGUAGCAAACUGGCAAAGCUUCCCUUAAGCAAUUCAAGAAAAGCAUAUGUUGCCCAGGUUCCUUCUCAGUCCCAAUAGCCUAAACAACAAGUGUCUACUGCCUGACGACAAAUAUGGAUUCUAACUGAACUCUUCUAAUACAAAAGAGGAUGCUUCUGUGUGAUUAUGUGGAAGCCCUGAGAUGUGAAGAGGAAUUGUGCAAGGCUAAGACCACAAAUAAAAGGAAUUUAAUUUCCUCCCUACAUUGGACAUGUUUUUUGUGGGUUGUCUCUUCAUUGGUGUUUGCUGUUAAUGAGAAGUCCAUCCAUACUCCUCGUCAAACAGGUUGUAGAUCAAUUUGGAGACCUGGUUUAUUCCUAAUAUGCCGAAAAAGUGCAAAGGAUUUUGCUGAUUUACCUGUUGAUGAUACUCAAAGAUCAGCCAUUGGUGGUUUUCAACAGGCACACCGUUCCUGUCAAAUAUUAGGCACCCCGCUUAUCUCUUCCGAGCUGGAUCACUGAUGUUGCAAAAAGCUUGCAGAGAAAAUCUUAGGUAAAAUACGAACUUGAUCAAAUAAGGGAUCCAGGGUGGCUAAAGAUGGUAAGCUUGUUUUGUUUGGUAUCCACACAUAUUGGUUUAGUCUCUUCAUAUUGCCUAAACAGAAACAGGUUAUCAGAGCUAUCUCACAACUGUUCCAAAAAUACUGCUAUUCUUAAUCAAAUUUGGAAUAUCUUCUGAAAAGGAUUCUUACUGCAAUUAAUGGAUGAAUUCAGUGUCAACUUAGAAAUAAGAAAUUUUGGGCAGUCUCAGUUCCUCAUCAUUGCUUAAUUGCUCAUGGAGUUAAAUCCUCUAGAGUACCAGAUUUUGUAUUCAUUAUCAAAUUGCACAUGGUUGUAAUAUUUCUGUAUGCUAUAAUUCUUUCGAUCCUUUAGGACCAUGGCACUAGGUUUUCUCUACUAAUUGCUGCGACAGCCAUAUUUGACUCUAAAAGUAGCGGAUUCGACUGUGGAAUAUGGCUGGCAAUAACCAACUAGAGUCAGAGCAAUGCUCAACUUUGGUGGGGCUUCUAAUGGUUCGUUUGCCAUGUAUAAUUCCACAAGGCAGAGGCCUCUAGCUUGGCUACAGUAUUUUGUUUCGCGAAUUGUAUUUCAAGGAUGGCUUCAUUCUUUGGCUUGCUAUUCUAGAUAGACUUAAGCAUGACUCAAAAGUGAAAAUGUGGAUGCUGAUAGUUGUUCACGUAACAAACAUCCUGAAAAUGUAUCACAUCUCUGCUUUCAAGUGAAUAAUCUCAACCCAUCUGGCAGCAUCUCUUAAAACGGAGGCUAGUACAUAGAGAUAUUUGCCUUUGGACGGAGAACUCAAUUGGUUGAGUCAGAGAGUGCUUCAAAAUUAAGGAAUCAAAGAGUGCUUCAAAAUUAAGCUCAAACAACUAAAACCCCCUUUAUCUGUGAUCCAAGAGAAGCUGAGUACUUGCCACAAAUCGAGAAUUAGAGAUAAGCGGAAGAUGAACUUAAGAUUGGUCUUUUCUCUACAUAUUUUCGAUCUGUAAGGACUAAAGAGUAUCCAGUCUGAGCUCCAUUUGUAUUUA